rnacentral:rRNA from 1 species
AGUGAACGCUGGCGGUAGGCCUAACACAUGCAAGUCGAACGGCAGCACAGUAAGAGCUUGCUCUUACGGGUGGCGAGUGGCGGACGGGUGAGGAAUACAUCGGAAUCUACUUUUUCGUGGGGGAUAACGUAGGGAAACUUACGCUAAUACCGCAUACGACCUACGGGUGAAAGCAGGGGAUCUUCGGACCUUGCGCGAUUGAAUGAGCCGAUGCCGGAUUAGCUAGUUGGCGGGGUAAAGGCCCACCAAGGCGACGAUCCGUAGCUGGUCUGAGAGGAUGAUCAGCCACACUGGAACUGAGACACGGUCCAGACUCCUACGGGAGGCAGCAGUGGGGAAUAUUGGACAAGGGGCGCAAGCCUGAUCCAGCCAUACCGCGGGGGUGAAGAAGGCCUUCGGGUGGUAAAGCCCCUUUGUUGGGAAAGAAAAGCAGCAGGUUAAUACCCCGCUGUUCUGACGGUACCCAAAGAAUAAGCACCGGCUAACUUCGU